UACAGAGGGUGCAAGCGUUGCUCGGAAUCAUUGGGCGUAAAGGGCAAGUAGGUGGUCUCAUUUGUCUAGGGUGAAAUCCUUGAGCUUAACUCAAGAAGUGCCCUAGAAACGGUGAGACUCGAGUACUGGAGAGGGUCGUGGAAUUCCCGGUGUAGCGGUGAAAUGCGCAGAUAUCAGGAGGAACACCGGUGGCGAAGGCGGGUCUCUGGGCCGAUACUGACGCUGAGGAGCGAAAGCGUGGGGAGCGAACAGG
rnacentral:rRNA from 1 species